UUUCAUACGUCCAUUUUAGCACUACCAGAAUGCAAUCUAGAUGGAAUAAGUUCGAACCGUCAGAAUUUGCAUGAGGACUAGAGAGAUCUAAUUAAAGCUAGAUCAAAUGUACGUGCAUACAUAGUGUACUGGAACUAGCAAUCACUAAUAAUUCAAAUAAAUCAGAUUAAGUGACGGUAUCCUUUUGAUUAUUCUAGGGUGGUUAUUUAAAUACUAUGAAGGAUAGAUCGAAGAGAACAGAACGAUGUUAGGGUUUUGGAGGAAUAAAUUGAACAAAGAAGAAUAGUACCAACUCCCGCGAUGAGGCAGGAGGCCGCGACAACGGGUUCUUGGACCACGAAUAUCUUGAGCUUCUCCAUCACCGCCAUCGCUCUUUCUCACUCACUCGAUCGCUCCGCGAUCGCCUUCGGCCCCUGCUUCUUCUCCGUCUCGCUCCCUUUUAAGAGCUCGCGGUGCGAUUGUUCCGC
rnacentral:lncRNA from 1 species